UGGGGAAUUUUGGACAAUGGGCGAAAGCCUGAUCCAGCAAUGCCGCGUGUGUGAAGAAGGCCUUCGGGUUGUAAAGCACUUUUGUCCGGAAAGAAAUCCUUGGCUCUAAUACAGUCGGGGGAUGACGGUACCGGAAGAAUAAGCACCGGCUAACUACGUGCCAGCAGCCGCGGUAAUACGUAGGGUGCAAGCGUUAAUCGGAAUUACUGGGCGUAAAGCGUGCGCAGGCGGUUUGCUAAGACCGAUGUGAAAUCCCCGGGCUCAACCUGGGAACUGCAUUGGUGACUGGCAGGCUAGAGUAUGGCAGAGGGGGGUUAGAAUUCCACGUGUAGCAGUGAAAUGCGUAGAGAUGUGGAGGAAUACCGAUGGCGAAGGCAGCCCCCUGGGCCAAUACUGACGCUCAUGCACGAAAGCGUGGGGGAGCAAAACAGGAUUAGAUACCCCUGGUAGUCCACGCCCUAAACGAUGUCAACUAGUUGUUGGGGAUUCAUUUCCUUAGUAACGUAGCUAACGCGUGAAGUUGACCGCCUGGGGGAGUACGGUCGCAAGAUUAAAACUUAAA
rnacentral:rRNA from 1 species